UGGCCACAGACCACAAUUAAUUCCUCUAUCAGUUCUUUAUAACUUUUUGUCUCAUUAAAAAAUUUGCACCGAAUCUUUUUGUCAAAUUUUUUGUGUGUGUAUUGUAUAGUACUAGUCCAAAAAUAUAUCCAAAAUUCAGAAAGAUUGCAGUCACACAUCUUACAAAUUUAGCCAAUACACAUCCAUACCCCUAUUGACAAGUCAAGAGAUGUUCCGAAAACUGUAAAUAUUACCUUUUUGCACUUGGCCUAAUCCCUCAUUCCAAAUCAAAAUCCGUUAAAAUACAACAUCCAAAAAUUUAUUUCACCUCUCUUCUUUCAUUUCCACCAAAAAAAUCUAAGAAAUGAGUGAGGAAGGGAAAGAAAAAAAAAUAAGGAAAAAUACACUCUAAUUAAAAGGAACUAUAUUCGUGGACAACGAAUAGCGGGGUCAUUAAUUGAGAACAAAAGAGUUAUUAGCAUUUUCCAUCAGUCAGGACAUUAGUCACGGGAGGACGUAGUUGGUCAGGUCAAGUUUUAUAACUUUUCAAAAUAUUUACUUCCUUUUUCUUCUUAUAUUUUUGUAUUAAAUGUUUUAAUCUUCCUUGGUAUCGAAUUCGAAGUCUAUCCUGUCAAUAAUAAAACAUUUUUUAGCCGUUUUUUU
rnacentral:lncRNA from 1 species